rnacentral:piRNA from 1 species
UAUAUAAUUUAUAUUAAUUGGUGUUUU